rnacentral:rRNA from 1 species
CAAUAGCGUAUAUUAAAGUUGUUGCGGUUAAAAAGCUCGUAGUUGGAUUUCUGUUGUGGGCAUCCGGUCCGCACUACGUGCGAGUAUCGGUUUGGCCACGGCAUCCUCCUGAAGAACUUGGUGUGCUUCAGUGCAUGGCUUGGGAUUCAGGACUUUUACUUUGAGGAAAUUAGAGUGUUCACGGCAGGCGUUUGCCCUGAAUAUAUUAGCAUGGAAUAAUGAUAUAGGCGACCGAGUCUAUUUUGUUGGUUUCUAGGCUCAGUCGAAUGGUUAAUAGGGACAGUUGGGGGCAUUCGUAUUAUGACGUCAGAGGUGGAAUUCUUGGAUUGUCAUACGACGAACUACUGCGAAAGCAUUUGCCAAGGAUGUUUUCAUUGAUCAAGAACGAAAGUAAGGGGAUCGAAGACGAUCAGAUACCGU